CUCCUGGUGGCACUUUCAAGAUGGCACGUGUGUGUGCAUAAGGCUCUGGCACAGCACUGCUGGUGUGAGGAAAGUGCAGAAAGCCAAACUGAGCUCACGCUGACACUCAGAAAAGAGAGGACUUCAGCCACAUGCCCAAGGUUGUGUGAGGAUUGCAGAGCAGGUUUAGGGAAUGGAGAUCUGGCCUCUUGGUCUAAGCCAGGCCAUCCCUCCUCCUUUUGAGACUGCGUAUAACUGAAAAGGAGCUGUAUCUGCCUAUUGGUUAAGAUGUUUUCAGUAAUCUUCACAACUGAAAUGCAUACCUAUUUUGCUAUCAACCACCUCAGCCCUUUGCCAAGAAGAUUUUAUUUGUUUUGUUCAUUGCUGCCCAGUGGGAGAGCAUGGUAAUGUGGAGAUGGGGUGGGGGCGAAGUGAGACAUGAAUUCACAAAUUUGGCCUGAAGAA